GUAGCCCGCAACACACGGACACCCCCACGCGCACUCGCAAUCCCCGGCCACAUCACCGCCGCCGACCCGACUCGCCCGAUGGUUUCCCUGCGCCACCGCGGUCGUGCCGUCCUCGACGCUCCGUCCCGGCCUCCGAGCGCUACAACUCCCUCCCCACUCCCACUUCUCCAAGAGCCGAGAUGCCUUCCCCGCCUCGCCUCGCAUCGGCCGGUCUCCCAUCGCCGCCGCCCCAGGCGCCAUCUAGCUUAGGGGUCCGCUAUACCCGGAGCUCUGGCGCGCCUGCGCCGGCCUGCUCGCCACAUCGAGCAGUUGUGUUGCAGCUAUAUAGGCCUCAUCCAGUGAAAACUAUUGUUGAGGGUUUGAAGAGGUACUGGAAAGAAAUUUGUGAUCUGAUCUUUGAGGAUACAAGUAGUGGAACGCACAGACAAGAAGCAGCACUCUUUGAAGAAAUAUGGCAAGCUUCUGAAGCAACAUGCGAACAGCAUGCAAGGGUCUCAGGUAUCUCCUCUACUUCUGUCUACAAUAUGGUGGUCACACCUACAGACUUUCAGUUGAGUAUUCAAUGAAUCAAUGGAAAAAGUGAUUCAAUGCUCUUAGUUGAGUAUACUAUCUGAAGCAGUGGUCAGUGGAUACAUGGCUGGAGAAAUUUCAAGUUCUCUCUUGUGUAAACAUAUCGACCCUGGUAGGAUUUUGUAGAUUUUUUAUAUCAUAUCAAUUUGGCAUAUAUUAGAUUCUUAUGCGAAUUUCAUUGGUCGUUGGUCGUGUUGUAAUCCAUUGUGUUCAGUUCUAUUCUCUGAAUGGAAUCAAAUUUUUUUUUAUUGUAACGACCGUACCUAAAGCAACUUAUAAGCAAUGCAUGGAGCUAAGCAUCUCUGGCUGCAGUCAUAUUGGGGUUCAGAGAAUCUACUUUUGGACAUAUGGGGUGGAGCGGCCGCCGGCGAGGUCGUCGACAGCAGGGGUGAUGAUCGAGGCGGCGGGGUUGGGAUUUCGGGUUGCUGGGGCUUCCAAUGGCCAUCGGUCUUAGAGCAGGAGAUCGGCGGCGGCCCGGCGGUGGUGGCGGUGUGGCCGACGGCAGAGGCGAGGCGGCAUGGGAGCGCCAUCGGCCGGGAGGGGCCGGACAACCGGGCGGUGGGCGGGGGCCAGGUUGUGGAAGCGGCGGCGGUGAUGAACGGGCAGUGCGGCGGCGGCGGCGGCGGCGGCGGCGGCGGUGGAGGGUGGUGGCGGAGGCGCCGCCGGAGCGGUGGGAGGUGGGGGAGGGAGGGGGAGAACGAGGCGGUCUUCCACGACAACUCCGCGCAAGGUAG